rnacentral:piRNA from 1 species
UGAUGUCUACCGGCUAGCAGACCU